GACGAACGCUGGCGGCGUGCUUAACACAUGCAAGUCGAACGGAAAGGCCCUGCUUUUGUGGGGUGCUCGAGUGGCGAACGGGUGAGUAACACGUGAGUAACCUGCCCUAGACUUUGGGAUAACUUCAGGAAACUGGGGCUAAUACCGGAUAGGCGCUCCUGCUGCAUGGUGGGGGUUGGAAAGUUUCGGCGGUUGGGGAUGGACUCGCGGCUUAUCAGCUUGUUGGUGGGGUAGUGGCUUACCAAGGCUUUGACGGGUAGCCGGCCUGAGAGGGUGACCGGCCACAUUGGGACUGAGAUACGGCCCAGACUCCUACGGGAGGCAGCAGGGGGGAAUAUUGCACAAUGGGCGGAAGCCUGAUGCAGCAACGCCGCGUGCGGGAUGACGGCCUUCGGGUUGUAAACCGCUUUCGCCUGUGACGAAGCGUGAGUGACGGUAAUGGGUAGAGAAGCACCGGCUAACUACGUG
rnacentral:rRNA from 1 species